UACGGGGGGGGGCAAGCGUUGUUCGGAAUUACUGGGCGUAAAGGGCUCGUAGGUGGCCAACUAAGUCAGACGUGAAAUCCCUCAGCUUAACUGGGGGAACUGCGUCCGAUACUGGAAGGCUUGAAUCCGGGAGAGGGAUGCGGAAUUCCAGGUGUAGCGGUGAAAUGCGUAGAUAUCGGAAGGAACAUCAGUGGCGAAAGCGGCUUCCUGGACCAGUACCGACGUUCAGGCACGAAAGCGUGGGGAGCAAACAGG
rnacentral:rRNA from 1 species